GAUCUGGUCAGGACGAACGCUGGCGGCGUGCCUAACACAUGCAAGUCGAGCGAUGAAAUCCUUCGGGAUGAAUUAGCGGCGGACGGGUGAGUAACACGUGGGUAACCUGCCUUGUAGAGGGGGAUAGCCUUCCGAAAGGAAGAUUAAUACCGCAUAACAUCUUUUUAUCGCAUGGUAGAAAGAUCAAAGGAGCAAUCCGCUACAAGAUGGACCCGCGGCGCAUUAGCUAGUUGGUGAGGUAACGGCUCACCCAAGGCGACGAUGCGUAGCCGACCUGAGAGGGUGAUCGGCCACAUUGGAACUGAGACACGGUCCAGACUCCUACGGGAGGCAGCAGUGGGGAAUAUUGCGCAAUGGGGGGAAAAACCCCUGACGCAGCAACGCCGCGUGAAUGAAGAAGGCCUUAGGGUUGUAAAGUUCUGUUUACGGGGACGAUAAUGACGGUACCCGUGGAGGAAGCCACGGCUAACUACGUGCCAGCAGCCGC
rnacentral:rRNA from 1 species